UAAAAUACUUGGCCUCAUUAUUUUAUAGGUUUGCUGUGAAAAUCAAAUAAAUAACAUAUGAAAGAAUCAUCUUAUAAAUUACAAAGCAGCACUUCAACUUUAAGUUGCACUAUUUUAAUGAUGUGUUCAUCAGAUAUUUGGAUGAGUUAUCUCCUAUACAAACUAAAUUCCAGGUAGUAUCAUGAUUAUGAAAUGAGGUAUAAGAGCAUAUGCUUUGGCAUUUUCAUGGUUUAUUCAUUGGUUUUCCUCCCCCUUGCCUUUGCUCUCCAACUGCUGAAGUCAUGAUGGAAUUAGGAAUCUUUUCCUAGAAGGAGGAAGUUAUUAUUUAUAGCCAAAUUGGUUUUUCUUCUUUUCCUCAUUUACCUGAGGCUCCUUCAGGAAAAUUACUGAGUUCAGAACUGGCUUAAAAAACUUGAGUAGGUGAAUAAUAAGGAUCAAAAAGCUACUACAGGCCUGACAUGCUUGACGGGCUCCAGCACAGAUGAUUGGCACUCUUGGUCUCUCUAAACCCAAAAGUGACUCUGAAGAGCAUAAUGUACAAAGGGUCCUAUUCCCCAGCUGCCAGGCUCUGACUCAGUCCUUCACCCUUCCUUCUAUUCUCAUUUCCUCUCCACUUCCCAGUGCCCCAUCAUUUAGCAGCAGGGAUGAAAAGGAGCCAGGGUGGGUGUUCUGGGGUCAAGCAAGUUUCAAAACCAGCAUGGCAUAGCCUUUCCUGAGAGCAGUCCAAUCUGCUCACAGGUCCACUCUGACCAAUCUCAGAACACAUGGAAGGCUGGGCAAAGCAGGGCCUGGGAGUCCCUUAUUAUUGGCACUUGGGUUUCCUACUGGGUUAGAACCUUAAGCUCUCUGGCAGAAGCAGGGCACAGAGGCCACCUGAAGAGAACAAGGAUGCAGGCACAGCAGCUCACACUGCCCUAGGAUAGCUCCAGCAGACAGAAGUCCUGUGUCUGACCUCUGAGGUCUUAUGCUUUAGGGCAGGAUCUAACUCAGGGCACCAAAUAAAUAGCCUGUACUCCUGGUAAGUACAGGUCUUGGUACACAGGUGUUUGACAAAUACUAUUUGCAUGAUCAGUGACAGGUUUAGGCCAUUAAACCAGCAUUAGAGCACAGAGUAGUACCCAAAGAGAGCUACAUUUCUUUGGUCAAUUAAAAAAAAAAAGUUCUGGAGUAGUGGAACUAAACCCAUAGA